rnacentral:rRNA from 1 species
AUGCACGCUGGCGGCGUGCCUAAUCCCUGCAAGUCGCGCGCACGGACGAGAAGCUUGCUUCUCUGAUGUUAGCGGCGGACGGGUGAGUAACACGUGGAUAACCUACCUAUAAGACUGGGAUAACUUCGGGAAACCGGAGCUAAUACCGGAUAAUAUUUUGAACCGCAUGGUUCAAAAGUGAAAGACGGUCUUGCUGUCACUUAUAGAUGGAUCCGCGCUGCAUUAGCUAGUUGGUAAGGUAACGGCUUACCAAGGCAACGAUGCAUAGCCGACCUGAGAGGGUGAUCGGCCACACUGGAACUGAGACACGGUCCAGACUCCUACGGGAGGCAGCAGUAGGGAAUCUUCCGCAAUGGGCGAAAGCCUGACGGAGCAACGCCGCGUGAGUGAUGAAGGUCUUCGGAUCGUAAAACUCUGUUAUUAGGGAAGAACAUAUGUGUAAGUAACUGUGCACAUCUUGACGGUACCUAAUCAGAAAGCCACGGCUAACUACGUG